rnacentral:siRNA from 1 species
AAUAGGAGAAUGUACCAUAUGAC